GAUGAACGCUGGCGGCGUGCCUAAUACAUGCAAGUCGAGCGAACAGAUGAGGAGCUUGCUCCUCUGACGUUAGCGGCGGACGGGUGAGUAACACGUGGAUAACCUACCUAUAAGACUGGGAUAACUUCGGGAAACCGGAGCUAAUACCGGAUAAUAUAUUGAACCGCAUGGUUCAAUAGUGAAAGACGGUUUUGCUGUCACUUAUAGAUGGAUCCGCGCCGCAUUAGCUAGUUGGUAAGGUAACGGCUUACCAAGGCAACGAUGCGUAGCCGACCUGAGAGGGCGAUCGGCCACACUGGAACUGAGACACGGUCCAGACUCCUACGGGAGGCAGCAGUAGGGAAUCUUCCGCAAUGGGCGAAGGCCUGACGGAGCAACGCCGCGUGAGUGAUGAAGGUCUUCGGAUCGUAAAACUCUGUUAUUAGGGAAGAACAAAUGUGUAAGUAACUAUGCACGUCUUGACGGUACCUAAUCAGAAAGCCACGGCUAACUACGUG
rnacentral:rRNA from 1 species